rnacentral:sRNA from 1 species
CGCCGCUGCGUAUCCGAAACGGGCUUUGCAGCGGUUUUUCUAGAAAAAGCACUAGGAGUGAAUAGUGGCCCGUAUUGCAGGCAUUAACAUUCCUGAU